CUCACCUUUUAACCACCACGCAGCAAAAUUCCAGAAAUGCAAGAAUUUUAGAUGAAGAAAGGGAUAAGAGGAGGAAGGUGAACAUGUAUUUAUUGGCUACCUUCUUAUACAAGGUCUGCAGACCUUCUGUUAUCAAUGAGACACCAAACUCCCAAGAAACAAAAAUGGCACCGUGCCUUGCCAUUUAACUUGCAUAUGUCUCUUAUCAUGUUCCAACUUUGACAUAACCACGAGGGAGUGAGCGCAUAGGAAUGCGUGCAGAACCAGACCCAGUGAGAGAAGCAGCAAGUGAUGCUGAGUAGAAGAGAGAAAGUAGGGGUGCCCCCCAGGGCCCAUACCUGUCUAGGGCCAUGGUACUGUUUUAAAGCAAAAAGUGUGGUCCUAGAGGAGGGAAGCUUCUCACCAAAGCGAGGAAGCUGCCGUUUUUCUCUUCAGCUGCUCCUGAAACCACCCUGAGAAACGAGGAGGCCCCUGAUCAAGACCCACCUGCCCCCAGAGCUGCGAUUCUCUCCACACGGGUGUCACAGGGCAUUACUGCAACAGGCUUGUUUCCCGACACCUCACCCUAACUGCUCCGCGUAGGGGGACCUGCUGUUUUUGAAAUCCAGGGGGAGCCACUGGACUCUGGAAACCAGGUGCCUUUGCUUUGAAAAAUUACUGGAAAGAGGAAACGGAGGUUCCUGGGAAGACAUCACCAAGUCCAUCCGGAAAUAACGACUCAUUAGGAAACUGAGGCUUCAGGUAAGAGUGGAAAUGCUAAAUGAUCUUACAACAAGAUGAGCUGCCAGAGUCAGGGUUCAACCUUUUCCCCCCAAACCGUAAAAUGAGUCAACGAGGCCCCACUUGGCCAAGGAACAGGGAAGAUAAGCCACAUCUGGGGCCUUUGGGUUCCUUUUACGGGGCCUUCUUUUUCCUUCAUAAAGUUGCAUUUUUAUAUUUGUCUGUGUGGGCACAUCACAGAAGCUGUCAUACUUGAUCAGCGCCUGGAGAGAAAGAUGAAAACGUCACGCUCACAUCUGUGCAGCUGGGAUGAACAGGGAGAAAUCGAGAAGAUUAAGCAGAGAGCUUUCAUGCCCGAGAUAACCCAGCUGUGUGAAAAAUCAAGUCUAUUGAACACGAAAGCACUGAACCACCAAAAUAACUGCUUUAAAACCAGGAAGGAAGGGAAUAAAUGCCCCAGCAAAGCGCAGACAGUGACGCAGACCCGGCUGCAUUUCAAACAAACUCAUGACCGUCUCUCCACCCGUGAUGUGCCUCAGACUCAGCCGUUCUAUUUCAGUCCUGUUCCCCUGGUUCUUCUUUUUUGAAUAGACGGCAACACCUUACUUCCUUGCGGCUGGAUAAGUUGAAAGUUUUCUGAAUACAGGAUUCGGGCUUUCAACGUGGUUAGGCAUAAAACUAAAAAGCUUUUUUCAUUGUUUGUAACCUCUGUGCUACCCAACGUGGCAGCCAACAGCCACGGGUGACCGUUUCUAUUAAAAUUAAUCAAGAUGAAAUAAAAUCAAGGAUUCAGCUGCUCAGAUGCACCAGCCACAUUUUAGGUACUCAACAGCCGCACGUGACGAGCGGCUACCAGACUAGCCAGUGUGGAGACAACGUGCCCAUCACCGCAGAAAGUCCUCCAGGAAAUGGGGCUCCCCUUCCAGAAUGCAAUUUAUUCGAUUCCUAUGAGCUUUCUGACCCUCCAAGGAUUGGCUCUACCUGCUUCCUGGUAGAGUUCCUGAUAUUCCUACCGAUGUGGGCUCAGAUGCCAGAAAAUCCUCGGGGCUUAGGUGACUCAGGUUACGUAGAAACUGUUCAGUCCUGCAGGCUAUGAGGCCUCUGUUUUGUGGGACACAGAAGGGAAACCUCUCUUCCUAAUCUUUAUAGCAGCUUCCCACAGUCACUGUGAUGGCUACAAGUGUGCGUCAACCUGACUAGGUCUUGAGGUGCCCUGAUUACACGUUGCUGCGGGAUGUGUCUGUGAGGGCGUCUGCAAAUGAGACUGGCCUUUGAAUGGGUGAAGUCAGGCAAGCAGGUGUGAGUGGGCUUCAUCCAAUCCAUCCGGGGCCUGAAGAGAACCGAAGGUGGAGGAAGGAAGCAUUCACCCCUCUUUUCCCUGCCUCCCUGCAUGAGCUGGGGCAUCUCAUCUCACCUUCUGCCCUUGAAGAGGGAGUUACACCAUCAGCUCCCAUCAGGCCCUUAGACUCGACCUGAAUCGCACCACCGGCUUUCCUGGGUAUCCAGCACGCAGAUGCGGAUCAUGGGAGUGCGCAGACUCCUUAAUCACGUGAGCUAGUUCCAACCCCCGAGACAUGAAACACUGGCAGACCGCUCCUCCGGGAAAGGGCCCAGGCUCCAGGCACAAGCACCAGCUAACGCUUAGUGGUUGGAGGGUUCACACUUCCAGUCUUGGAAGUGCAACAAAGAUAAUGCCAAGGAUACACAGGGUAAGAGUAAUGAGCGAGUCGAGGCGCCUGGGUGGCGCAGUCGGUUAAGCGUCCGACUUCAGCCAGGUCACGAUCUCACGGUCCGUGAGUUCGAGCCCCGCAUCGGGCUCUGGGCUGAUGGCUCAGAGCCUGGAGCCUG